CUAUUUCCUCAUUUUGUUUUUUUUUUUGUAUGAGAAAUUAAAAUAAUUAGUGUCAAUUAUUGAGUGCGUACUCCAAAAUGUGUGUCAAUAAUGAGCUUAUCAAUCUAUUUGAACUUAAAUGACACCCUAUGUUAUGUUAUGUUAUAUUAUAUUCAUAUUGCAAAUCUGGAUUUUCUAAUAAUUAAUCAGACAAUGAAGGCAGUAUACAAAAUUCUAAGAAAAAAAUAUUACAUUUGAUCAGUAUCAAUAUUUAUGUAUUCACGUAUGCACAUAUCUAUAAAACCUGCACAGCACAUUAUUAUCAUAUUUAACGCAUAUUUUAAACAAGUCAGCAACAAAUUAAAUUAAGUACACUAUACUAUGUCAAUUGAACAAAAAAAAAGUAUAAAAUGAAACAUUACUUAAGAGUAUAGUAUAGAAUCUUAAAGAAUCUCGAACUAUUCCAAAAUGAAAUUGCUUUAUUUAUUUGCAAUAAUCUUUGUUUUCGCUAAUAUCGCAGCAGUUGUCAAGGCUGACUGUUGUAAUUAUGUCUACUCCCAUGGAGAAUACCUUUGCCGCGAUGGACCUCUAACCGAAGGAAGUUGUUGUGGGCGUGGCAAAUGUAACAUAUUCUGCUGUGAUUGUGCUGGCGGUUGCAGAUAGAAGGAAUUUAUUUAAAGUGAAAUUAGUCAAUUUUAUAUGGAAAACCAAUAGUAUUUUGAUUUAAACUCAAACAUUCAUAAAAAGGGAUUCAAAAACUGGAAUAAUACAAAACAUGUUUUUUACGAGGAAGAAAUUUUAAAAUUUGGAAUAAUUUUUAAAACAUUAAAUCAUUGAAAUAAAAAUUAUUGAAAAUAUAAAAA